rnacentral:rRNA from 1 species
GACGAACGCUGGCGGUGUGCUUAACACAUGCAAGUGGUGCGACGAACCAGAGCUUGCUCUGGGGCAAAGCCGCGAACGGGUGAGUAACACGUGGGUAAUCUACCCCGAUGACCGGGACAACCCGAGGAAACUCGGGCUAAUACCGGAUGUGGUGCGGAAACAUAAGUCUCUUCACUAAAGGUAGCUUCGGCUUCCGCAUUGGGAGGGGCCCGCGGCCCAUUAGCUUGUUGGUGGGGUCAAGGCCUACCAAGGCAACGAUGGGUAGCUGGUCUGAGAGGACGAUCAGCCACACUGGGACUGAGACACGGCCCAGACUCCUACGGGAGGCAGCAGUGGGGAAUCUUGCGCAAUGCGCGAAAGCGUGACGCAGCAACACCGCGUGAGGGAAGAAGGCCUUAGGGUUGUAAACCUCUUUCAGAUGGGACGAAGGUUCUCCGGUGAAUAGCCGAGAGGAUUGACGGUACCGUCAGAAGAAGCUCCGGCUAACUACGUG